rnacentral:rRNA from 1 species
GUCUAUGGCCGCAGCACCCUGAACGUGUCCAAUCUCGUCUGAUCUCAGGGGCUAAGCAGGGUCGGGCCUGGUUAGUACUUGGAUGGGAUGUCUCCUGUUCUCUUUCAAGUGUUUACGCUAAAGUCAGCAUGGACA